UAAAGUUCCAGCUGUGUGUUUGUCAGGCAAUGAAAGGAGAUAAGAAUGUGGUUGUCGGGCAGGGUAUGGAGUCUUCGUUAGAGGAACUUUGUGAAGACAGUUUCUCUGCACAAGCCCUGACAGCUAACGUAGUGGGAGGAGAUCAAAAUGGGCAGCAGAGUGUAAUAUACGCUACAACAUACCCUGCUCAGGUACAUCAACAGAUCCAGUUCGGCUGAUUUUUAAGAUAAAACUAACUAUUUUUUAUUUAAAUUUCAACCAUCGUUCCCACCCAGUGCGUCAACCGAGGUUUUUAUAGAUAUUUGCGUGUAUAACAUGAAACAGGGACUUGUUAGGUUAGACGGUUUGAGAAGAAAAUAUCACAUAUAAAGUUUUAAUUUAAUUUAUUUUUUUCUCUGUAUUUGUGUGAUUCUGUUGUUUUCUAUAUACUUUUACAAAUUUUCGUGUUAAAAAAUCAUCACAGUUUUUAAACAGUUACUUAGAUAAAAAAAUAUUCCAGAGAAUCUGUGUGAAUUUAAUAAUAAGCUUUUAGAUCAUACGAUUAAGGUAAAAUAGUGUAAGAAGUGAUUGAUAUAGAGAAGUGUUUACCUUACUGAAUGACAUCAAAACUUCACAUUUAAUAGUUGUUAUGAACUCGGACUGAAUUGUAGAUUUGUUUUCUAUGGGUGUUAGACUUGUUGAUUUCAUUGUUUCGGCUUUUAUUGCUUAAAAACACAAACAUUGUUUUUACACAAUUAAUACGAUGGCUACUUAAGUUUUGUUUUUUGAAGUAUUUGUACAUUCAUUCAUUAUUUUGUUUUAACAAAGUGACUCACCUGUUGAGCUGUGUUAAUGUGUUAUUUAGUUUUAUAUAUUUGUGUAUCCGGUGAGAAGCCUUAGUGCCCACCGUCUAUAAUCUUUGAAUGUGUACAUGAUUAUAUACUACAGUAAAGUUAAUUAAAAUAUA